rnacentral:rRNA from 1 species
GCGGACGGGUGAGUAACACGUGGGUAACCUGCCUGUAAGACUGGGAUAACUCCGGGAAACCGGGGCUAAUACCGGAUAACACCUACCCCCGCAUGGGGGAAGGUUGAAAGGUGGCUUCGGCUAUCACUUACAGAUGGACCCGCGGCGCAUUAGCUAGUUGGUGAGGUAACGGCUCACCAAGGCGACGAUGCGUAGCCGACCUGAGAGGGUGAUCGGCCACACUGGGACUGAGACACGGCCCAGACUCCUACGGGAGGCAGCAGUAGGGAAUCUUCCGCAAUGGACGAAAGUCUGACGGAGCAACGCCGCGUGAGUGAAGAAGGUUUUCGGAUCGUAAAACUCUGUUGUUAGGGAAGAACAAGUGCCGUUCGAAUAGGGCGGCACCUUGACGGUACCUAACCAGAAAGCCACGGCUAACUACGUGCCAGCAGCCGCGGUAAUACGUAGGUGGCAAGCGUUGUCCGGAAUUAUUGGGCGUAAAGCGCGCGCAGGUGGUUUCUUAAGUCUGAU